rnacentral:rRNA from 1 species
AAACACCGCCUCCUGAAUUCCCCCCAUAGGAGGUCCCGCCUGCCCUGUGAUAAUAUAUUUAACGGCCGCGGUAUUUUGACCGUGCAAAGGUAGCGCAAUCACUUGUCUUUUAAAUGGAGACCUGUAUGAAUGGCAUAACGAGGGCUUAACUGUCUCCCUCCCCCAGUCAAUGAAAUUGAUCUUUCCGUGCAGAAGCGGGAAUAAACCCAUAAGACGAGAAGACCCUGUGGAGCUUUAGACAAUAAAUAGCCCCUGUAAAGAGCCCUUACCAAACAAGCGAAAACAAACGGAUGACUAUUUUGCUGUCUUUGGUUGGGGCGACCGCGGGGUAACAAAAAACCCCCAUGUGGAAUAAGAACAGCCUUCUUUAAACCAAGAACACCUCCUCGAAGUAACAGAACAUCUGACCUAAUAUGACCCGGCUUUGCCGAUCAACGGAACCAGUUACCCCAGGGAUAACAGCGCAAUCCUCUCCCAGAGCCCAUAUCGACGAGGGGGUUUACGACCUCGAUGUUGGAUCAGGACAUCCUAAUGGUGCAGCCGCUAUUAAGGGUUCGUUUGUUCAA